AGAUUCUGAAUACAUUGUUUACCACACCAAGAUUGUGAGAGGGAAUACAGUCAACAUCAAAUUUCAUCCUUCAUCUGCCUUUCUUCAGUCUCCAUCCAUACAGCUGCCCAAUUAGCCAUAGCUCCCUGC